UACAGAGGGGGCAAGCGUUGUUCGGAAUUACUGGGCGUAAAGGGCGCGUAGGCGGUCCGCUAAGUUCGGCGUGAAAUCCCCUGGCUCAACUGGGGAACUGCGCUGGAUACUGGUGGACUUGAGUACCGGAGAGGAGAGUGGAAUUCCUGGUGUAGCGGUGAAAUGCGUAGAUAUCAGGAGGAACACCGGUGGCGAAGGCGGCUCUCUGGACGGAUACUGACGCUGAGGCGCGAAAGCGUGGGGAUCAAACAGG
rnacentral:rRNA from 1 species